rnacentral:rRNA from 1 species
GACGUAGGGCGCGAGCGUUGUCCGGAUUUAUUGGGCGUAAAGGGCUCGUAGGCGGCCAACUAAGUCGGACGUGAAAUCCCCAGGCUCAACCUGGGAACUGCGUCCGAUACUUCCGAGCUGGAGGUAGGUAGGGGAGAUCGGAAUUCCUGGUGUAGCGGUGAAAUGCGCAGAUAUCAGGAGGAACACCGGUGGCGAAAGGCGGAUCUCUGGGCCUUACCUGACGCUGAGGCGCGAAAGCUAGGGGAGCGAACAGG